rnacentral:rRNA from 1 species
UACAGAGGGUGCGAAACGUUGUUCGGAAUUACUGGGCAUAAAGAGCACGUAGGCGGCACCGCAAGUGUGGGGUGAAAUCCCACGGCUUACCCGUGGAACUGCCUGGCAGACUGCGGUGCUAGAGGUUGGUAGGGGAGAGCGGAACUCUUGGUGGAGCGGUGAAAUGCGUAGAUAUCUGGAGGAACACCGGUGGCGAAGGCGGCAUUCUGGACCGAUAUUGACGCUGAGGCACGAAAGCUAGGGAGCAACAGGAGUUAGAA